rnacentral:misc_RNA from 1 species
GAUGAAGAAGUAGCGAAAUGCGAUAAGUAAUGUGAAUUGCAGAAUUCAGUGAAUCAUCGAAUCUUUGAACGCACAUUGCGCCCGUCAGUAUUCUGGCGGGCAUGCCUGUUCGAGCGUCAUUACGCCCCUCAAGUCCCCUGUGGACUUGGUGUUGGGGAUCGGCGAGGCUGGUUUUCCAGCACAGCCGUCCCUUAAAUUAAUUGGCGGUCUCGCCGUGGCCCUCCUCUGCGCAGUAGUAAAACACUCGCAACAGGAGCCCGGCGCGGUCCACUGCCGUAAAACCCCCCAACUUUUUAUAGUUGACCUCGAAUCAGGUAGGACUACCCGCUGAACUUAAGCAUAUCAAUAAGCGGAGGA